rnacentral:rRNA from 1 species
UACGGCGGGUGCAAGCGUUAUCCCGAAUCACUGGGUUUAAAGGGUGCGUAGGCGGGCAGGUAAGUCAGUGGUGAAAUCUCCGGGCUUAACCCGGAAACUGCCGUUGAUACUAUCUGUCUUGAAUAUCGUGGAGGUAAGCGGAAUAUGUCAUGUAGCGGUGAAAUGCUUAGAUAUGACAUAGAACACCCAUUGCGAAGGCAGCUUACUACACGAUCAUUGACGCUGAGGCACGAAAGCGUGGGGAGCAAACAGG